GAUGAACGCUGGCGGCGUGCCUAAUACAUGCAAGUCGAGCGAACGGACGAGGAGCUUGCUCCUCUGACGUUAGCGGCGGACGGGUGAGUAACACGUGGAUAACCUACCUAUAAGACUGGGAUAACUUCGGGAAACCGGAGCUAAUACCGGAUAAUAUAUUGAACCGCAUGGUUCAAUAGUGAAAGACGGUUUUGCUGUCACUUAUAGAUGGAUCCGCGCCGCAUUAGCUAGUUGGUAAGGUAACGGCUUACCAAGGCAACGAUGCGCAGCCGACCUGAGAGGGUGAUCGGCCACACUGGAACUGAGACACGGUCCAGACUCCUACGGGAGGCAGCAGUAGGGAAUCUUCCGCAAUGGGCGAAAGCCUGACGGAGCAACGCCGCGUGAGUGAUGAAGGUCUUCGGAUCGUAAAACUCUGUUAUUAGGGAAGAACAAAUGUGUAAGUAACUAUGCACGUCUUGACGGUACCUAAUCAGAAAGCCACGGCUAACUACGUG
rnacentral:rRNA from 1 species